UGGCGUGUGGGUGUGCGGAGG
rnacentral:misc_RNA from 1 species